rnacentral:rRNA from 1 species
AAUCAUGGCUCAGGAUGAACGCUAGCUACAGGCUUAACACAUGCAAGUCGAGGGGCAGCAUGGUCUUAGCUUGCUAAGGCCGAUGGCGACCGGCGCACGGGUGAGUAACGCGUAUCCAACCUGCCUUACACUCUUGGACAGCCUUCUGAAAGGGAGAUUAAUACAAGAUGUUAUCAUGAGUAAGCAUUUUCGCAUGAUUAAAGGUUUACCGGUGUAAGAUGGGGAUGCGCU